AGAGUUUGAUCGUGGCUCAGAACGAACGCUGGCGGCGCGCUUAACACAUGCAAGUCGAACGAGAGGCUGUAGCAAUACAGUAGUACAGUGGCGAACGGGUGAGUAAUACAUGGGUAACCUGCCGCCGAGAGGGGGAUAACUAGCCGAAAGGCUAGCUAAUACCGCAUACGCUUCUUUUCCGUCUGGAAAUGAAGGAAAGCUGCAUCGCAAGGUGUGGCACUCGGUGAGGGGCUCAUGGCCUAUCAGCUUGUUGGUGGGGUCAUGGCUCACCAAGGCUACGACGGGUAGCUGGUCUGAGAGGAUGAUCAGCCACACUGGCACUGAGACACGGGCCAGACUCCUACGGGAGGCAGCAGUGAGGAAUAUUGCGCAAUGGGCGAAAGCCUGACGCAGCGACGCAGCGUGGUGGAAGAAGGUUUUCGGAUUGUAAACCCCUUUCAGGAGGAAGAAUGGGGUGGGUAACCACUCGGACGGUACCUCCAGAAGAAGCCACGGCUAACUUCGUGCCAGCAGCCGCGGUAAUACGAAGGUGGCGAGCGUUGUUCGGAUUUACUGGGCGUAAAGAGCACGUAGGCGGUUUAGUAAGCCCCUCGAGAAAUCUCCAGGCUCAACCUGGAAAGUUCGAGGGGGACUGCUAGGCUAGAGAACGGGAGAGGAGCCCGGAAUUCCCGGUGUAGCGGUGAAAUGCGUAGAUAUCGGGAGGAAGGCCGGUGGCGAAGGCGGCGCUCUGGAACGUUUCUGACGCUGAUUGUGCGAAAGCGUGGGGAGCAAACAGGAUUAGAUACCCUGGUAGUCCACGCCGUAAACGAUGGGCACUAAGUGUCGGCGGGUUACCGCCGGUGCCGCAGCUAACGCAUUAAGUGCCCCGCCUGGGGAGUACGGCCACAAGGUUGAAACUCAAAGGAAUUGACGGGCGCCCGCACAAGCGGUGGAGCAUGUGGUUUAAUUCGACGCAACGCGAAGAACCUUACCCAGGUUAGACACGCUCGUAGUAAGACCCUGAAAGGGGAAUGAUCCUGAAAGGGAAGCUUGCGCAGGUGCUGCAUGGCCGUCGUCAGCUCGUGCCGUGAGGUGUUGGGUUAAGUCCCGCAACGAGCGUAACCCCUAUCUUCAGUUGCCAUCGGGUGAUGCCGGGCACCCUGGAGAAACUGCCCAGGAUAACGGGGAGGAAGGUGGGGAUGACGUCAAGUCAGCAUGGCCUUUAUGCCUGGGGCUACACACGUGCUACAAUGGCCGGCACAAAGGGUUGCAAUCUCGCAAGGGUGAGCUAAUCCCAAAUAACCGGCCCCAGUUCAGAUUGGGGUCUGCAACUCGACCCCAUGAAGGUGGAAUCGCUAGUAAUCGCGGAUCAGCACGCCGCGGUGAAUACGUUCCCGGGCCUUGUACACACCGCCCGUCACACCACGAAAGUUAGUUGUACCUUAAGUCGUUGAAGCUAACCCGUAAGGGACGCAGGCGCCCAAGGUAUGGUUGAUAAUUGGGGUGA
rnacentral:rRNA from 1 species